GCAAGUAUAAUUAUAAUGCUGGUUUUGUGGAUACCUUGUCCAGAUUUCGUAACAAUUAAAAUCCAUACUCUAUCUCACUUUCUUUGACUAUUAUACAUGGGUGCGCAAAAUGAGCAAAAUGAGAGUGUUAAUAGUGACUAAUAGGUGGCAGAUCAUGCCUAUAAUAUUAUAUAUUAUGCCUCAGGGCGUAGCCACAGAGGAAUACAGUAAAGCUGACUGUGUGUGUGUGUCUGUGUAUUAAUUAUAUCCCAGCUGUAUAAGCUGUAACUGCAUGUGAGUAUAUAGUGCAUGUGAUAGCUAGUAACAAGACAGCUCCCAUAAACUCUCAUGACUGUAUGUUAUCACCCUCGAUACAUUAGGACCUCUAUAAUAUAAUUGUCAGCCUGAUAUCUUGCUGGAGUGAUGGUGACACACUUGAUUCAUGUAAGAAAAGUAGAUGCUCUGCAAGCUAAUGUAAUGGUCUUUCUUCUACUGUGACUCUCUUUCAUAUAGUUAUCUCAUGAUUGUAGAUAGUAUGACCCUUUACCUAGUAGUCUACCCUGGUUUUUCUCAACUGUUGACAAAAUUGAAGAAGUGAGUGAAUGAAGAGUUGUUCUACGACCAAUAUAUAUAUGGAGAGAGUUGGAGGACCAUCUCAGUAAGAUUGGAGAGGAGGAACUAGCAAAGAAACUCCUGUGAUGCUGCACUACAUGUAUACUCUUACCCACAAAUGAAGAAAAACGAUUGGUUGAUCAACAAUCUGAAAACACUAAAAUUACUACCCAUCUAAUAUUAAGCUACGAGGGAGUUGCUGGUCCACUUCCCCCCAGAGGAGAGAUAACCACACCUACCCACACUGCUACUAGUUAUAUGAUUGAAGAUUCGUGUCGUAAUAAAAUGCUGAUUGCUUGACGGAGUGAUUGACCAAUGGAUGAAGAGUACGUUGCUCUGGUUGACCAACAUGGAAGGAGCUGGCAGACUACUCAGUAAGAGGAGCAGCUAGCAAGGAAUUACUGACCAGCUACGAGAUUGCAGGUACUAUGUGGCUGAUGGUGUGAGGCUCUACUCUCAAGGAGACCUGGAGAGUGGUCACACAGACCAGGGGAGUGCAGUUGGUCGAGCAGCUCAUCCACAAAGUGUACAGCAGUACUCCUCCCAGCGAGAAAUAUUUGGGAUGCACUGUUGGGGUCCAACACCAGUGAAGCAGAACGUAUGCUUUCAUCAGCACAUGAGACGGUGGUCUGUUUAUAAUUACAUAUGAUUUAGGAAUUAUAAAUUUUUGUUAAACCCACACAGCAAUUGCAUUAGUCACUCUAUGUACUAUACAAUGCACCAAGGGCUUAUAAAGAGAAGAGGGCAAUUAACUGAGGCUAUAUUCUCAGACUCAGCAAACUUCAUACUGUUACAAUUUUUAGACAUUCCACGCAUGGGCAGAAUACUUCACUUUGCCUAUAUAAAACCUCGACACCUUGGUUCCAGAGGCAGGCCGGAUAACAAAUGGAUAAACCACACCUUGAUCCACUUAAUUGAUAAAACAGCAGUGCACGUGGGCGUCUGUGCAUGCUAAUAGCAGUUAUGAAGUUUAGUGAUGACCGUAUAGUGGGGGUAAUUUUCAUUGGUGCCAAAAAUGUUCGUAUAGACUACCUAUUUGUAUUUUAAAUAUUUGUAGCUUCAGGAUAGUGACGUUGGCGGUAGAAUAAUUAAUUUUCGUAUGAUGCGAAAGGUACAAAAAUUUCCAACAUAACCCUGCUGUACGGUACAUAGGGUAAAUAGUGAGUUGCAUGCCCUCUUCUCUUUAUAAUUAUAGCACAUUAUAAAGUACCACAUUUAAAACUUACCUCGUAAGUACCCGUGUAGCAUGCUGCUUACAUCCAUAGCCACCUGCUUCAACACCAAAACGAAGUGUUCCCGACCAUAUUCGUUUGUGGUCUGCUGAGACAUUUUGAUAUUGCAUGGAUUAGAGAAGGUAAAAAUAUCAAAAGAUCUAUAGAGAGAUAGCAUAAUAGGCAACAAAGUUGAGGCUACAAACUAUGGGAGGUGUGGUAUAAUAGUUAGGACUUUUACUAUGACUAGCUGGCUAGUGAUGUUUAUUAUAACAAACAUAAAUGGGAGGUGAUUACCGCCAAAAUUAGCAGUAAAAAUAGGUGUGUUUUAAAAAAUGGUGCUGUUUUUUUUACAGAGAAUCAGUGAUGUGUUUUAAAAAUAGUGCUGUUUUUUUUACAGAGAGAGGUCGAUUUUUUCAGAGAGGUGCGUUUUGUAGAGAGAUGCAAUUUUUGGAGAGGUGCGUUUUAUGAGGUGCCAUUUUGUCCAACUCCACCCCAGAGGAGGCUGGUACCACUUGACCUUAGGUCACUAAUUGCAAACUUCUCUUACAGACUACUUCAAGCUUAGUUUGUAGUGUUUGUCAGUUUAAAACGUUAUUUUUCAGGGGGGUCAAAUUUUAUUUUUGCCAAUUUUGCUCAGAAGCAGAGAUACAAUCAAAAGUCUUGCUCUUGUGCUAGCCUCGAUUAUCAUGAGUGGCUUGUUCUCGAGGUCACUGCAUAGCUGGCUUUGAGACUUGUAUCUCUGCUUCUGAGCAAAAUU